AUGAACGCUGGCGGCGUGCCUAAUACAUGCAAGUCGAGCGAACGGACGAGAAGCUUGCUUUUCUGAUGUUAGCGGCGGACGGGUGAGUAACACGUGGAUAACCUACCUAUAAGACUGGGAUAACUUCGGGAAACCGGAGCUAAUACCGGAUAAUAUUUUGAACCGCAUGGUUCAAAAGUGAAAGACGGUCUUGCUGUCACUUAUAGAUGGAUCCGCGCUGCAUUAGCUAGUUGGUAAGGUAACGGCUUACCAAGGCAACGAUGCAUAGCCGACCUGAGAGGGUGAUCGGCCACACUGGAACUGAGACACGGUCCAGACUCCUACGGGAGGCAGCAGUAGGGAAUCUUCCGCAAUGGGCGAAGGCCUGACGGAGCAACGCCGCGUGAGUGAUGAAGGUCUUCGGAUCGUAAAACUCUGUUAUUAGGGAAGAACAUAUGUGUAAGUAACUGUGCACAUCUUGACGGUACCUAAUCAGAAAGCCACGGCUAACUACGUG
rnacentral:rRNA from 1 species